rnacentral:rRNA from 1 species
UGGGGAAUAUUGGACAAUGGGCGAAAGCCUGAUCCAGCCAUGCCGCGUGUGUGAAGAAGGUCUUCGGAUUGUAAAGCACUUUAAGUUGGGAGGAAGGGCAUUAACCUAAUACGUUAGUGUUUUGACGUUACCGACAGAAUAAGCACCGGCUAACUCUGUGCCAGCAGCCGCGGUAAUACAGAGGGUGCAAGCGUUAAUCGGAAUUACUGGGCGUAAAGCUCGCGUAGGUGGUUUGUUAAGUUGGAUGUGAAAUCCCCGGGCUCAACCUGGGAACUGCAUUCAAAACUGACUGACUAGAGUAUGGUAGAGGGUGGUGGAAUUUCCUGUGUAGCGGUGAAAUGCGUAGAUAUAGGAAGGAACACCAGUGGCGAAGGCGACCACCUGGACUAAUACUGACACUGAGGUGCGAAAGCGUGGGGAGCAAACA